ACAGGGAGAAGGCGAUUGAUUUUUAAAGAGUGCCUUGGAACUGGCAGAGAGAAAUGAGACAAUAGCUGGCUGUUUCAAUAUAUUAUGGACAACGAUGUCAAUCAAUAUGCUUUGCAGCUCGAAUUCAAUUCUUUGAAAAUAAGAUGUGUUAGACAGUCACUGGUUCAUGAAGGAAAUAGCAGAGUUGGAUCCAGAGUUUGGGGACAAGCCCAAAUGAAUCUAGCCAACAUCAGCCUUGCUUGAGUCAUUGAAAGCUCUUUAGGAUCCUGGACUGCUGAGAGUUCCCAGCAUGUUUAAAGGUCAACCCAGAGAGU